rnacentral:tRNA from 1 species
GCCCUCGUCGUCUAGGGGUCAGGACAUCGCCCUUUCACGGCGAAAACGUGAGUUCAAAUCUCAUCGAGGGCA